UGUAGCUCAAAUGGUAGAGCGCAAGCCUAGCAUGCAUGAGGUCCUGGGUUCAAUCCCCAGUA
rnacentral:tRNA from 1 species